CACGUAGGGCGCAAGCGUUGUCCGGAAUUAUUGGGCGUAAAGAGCUCGUAGGCGGUCUGUUGCGUCCGCUGUGAAAACUCGGGGCUUAACCCCGAGCCUGCAGUGGAUACGGGCAGACUAGAGGUAGGUAGGGAGAAUGGAAUUCCCGGUGUAGCGGUGAAAUGCGCAGAUAUCGGAGGAACACCGGUGGCGAAGGCGGUUCUCUGGGCCUUACCUGACGCUGAGGAGCGAAGCGUGGGGAGCGAACAGG
rnacentral:rRNA from 1 species